UGCAGUCGAGCGAUGAUGAGGAGCUUGCUCCUCUGAUUUAGCGGCGGACGGGUGAGUAACACGUGGGUAAUCUGCCUGUAAGACGGGGAUAACUCCGGGAAACCGGGGCUAAUACCGGAUAAUAAGAGAAGAAGCAUUUCUUCUUUUUGAAAGUUGGUUUCGGCUGACACUUACAGAUGAGCCCGCGGCGCAUUAGCUAGUUGGUGAGGUAACGGCUCACCAAGGCGACGAUGCGUAGCCGACCUGAGAGGGUGAUCGGCCACACUGGGACUGAGACACGGCCCAGACUCCUACGGGAGGCAGCAGUAGGGAAUCUUCGGCAAUGGGCGAAAGCCUGACCGAGCAACGCCGCGUGAGCGAUGAAGGCCUUCGGGUCG
rnacentral:rRNA from 1 species